rnacentral:lncRNA from 1 species
AGCCAUUCACCUGAUCAUUUGAUCAAGAUGAAUUAGAUUUGAAUCAAGGAAGAUUAAACCUCCCUAAUCAAUGCUAUCUUAUCAACCUGUAACUCAUUGAUCAAAAACGAAAAGAAGAAGAUGAAGAUGAAGGAGAUGGAUAAUGAAAAUGAAGAAAAUAAAGUGCAUCCAAUGAAAAGGAAUGUACAAAUCCAUAAAUGUUGACCAAAGAUAGGGAAGAUCAAG